GAGGAGGUAACUCCGAAUUUCUUCUAGCGGCGGACGGGUGAGUAACGCGUGAGCAAUCUUUCCUAAACAGGGGGAUAACGCAUCGAAAGGUGCACUAAUACCGCAUAAGACCACGGAGUCACAUGACUUAGGGGUCAAAGGAGGAAUCCGGUUUAGGGUGAGCUCGCGUCUGAUUAGCUAGUUGGUGGGGUAACGGCCUACCAAGGCGACGAUCAGUAGCCGACCUGAGAGGGUGAUCGGCCACACUGGGACUGAGACACGGCCCAGACUCCUACGGGAGGCAGCAGUGGGGAAUAUUGGGCAAUGGGGGAAACCCUGACCCAGCAACGCCGCGUGAGGGAAGAAGGUCUUCGGAUCGUAAACCUCUGUCCUCAAUGAAGAGCAGAAGACGGUAAUUGAGGAGGAAGCCCCGGCUAACUACGUGCCAGCAGCCGCGGUAAUACGUAGGGGGCAAGCGUUAUCCGGAAUGAUUGGGCGUAAAGGGCGCGUAGGCGGCCGUUUAAGAAUGGAGUGAAAGUCCUGCUUUUAAGGUGGGAAUUGCUUUGUUAACUGAGCGGCUUGAGUGUAGGAGAGGUUAGUGGAAUUCCCGGUGUAGCGGUGAAAUGCGUAGAGAUCGGGAGGAACACCAGUGGCGAAGGCGACUAACUGGACUAUAACUGACGCUGAGGCGCGAAAGUGUGGGGAGCAAACAGGAUUAGAUACCCU
rnacentral:rRNA from 1 species